rnacentral:sRNA from 1 species
CCUUUGGAGUAUCACAUCAAAUGUGAGUAGUUUUAGAUUUAUCUAUUACAAAAACAGAUACAUUGAAAAAGGAA